UACGGAGGGUGCGAGCGUUGUCCGGAAUCACUGGGCGUAAAGGGCGCGUAGGCGGCAGGCCAAGCGUGCGGUGAAAGUCCGGGGCUCAACCCCGGAUCUGCCGUGCGGACUGGUUUGCUAGAGCACUGUAGAGGCGAGUGGAAUUCCGGGUGUAGCGGUGGAAUGCGUAGAGAUCCGGAGGAACACCGGUGGCGAAGGCGGAUCUCUGGGCCGAUACUGACGCUGAGGAGCGAAAGCGUGGGGAGCGAACAGG
rnacentral:rRNA from 1 species